CCUUAGAAUAUUCCAUUCAGCGAUUUCAUGGUGGCGAGAUGUAUGCCGGCGAUGGUGGUGGUGGCUAUUGCCGCCCUUGACUUGACGGAAUCCUCCAAUUGGUAGCGGGACAUCAACAGCUCCCCGCUCUGGCAGGAUCGCAUCUUCCACCUCCUUUCCAUCCUUUACAGAAUCGUCAACGUCGUCGCUCUCGUUCAAUUAGUUCGAAUACAAUUGAGAGUGCCAGAGUAUGGUUGGACCACGCAGAAGUUUGGUGUCUUGUUUUUGUCUUCCGUCGAGAUGUGCAGAAGUUGCAGCCAAAGUUCUUUGCAUUGUUUUGAGGGUCUAGAAUGGCUUCAUCUGAAAAGAGGAAGAAAACAAUUUGCAAGAGGACUAGUGGUAAAGGUUGAUCCUCAAGGCAGGUGUGGUGGAGUUCUUAUCUAUGGUUUGCAAAUGAUAAUACUAAAGGCUACUCAGGCUAUAUUGAACCUGUAAUGGUGAUUUUGCAUGAACGUGAACUCACUUGGGCCGGACGUGUCUCAUGGAAGCAUCAUACUUGCACGAUAUCAACAAUUAGUAUCAGCAUAACUUUGAAGCAACAUCCACUUAUUUGGUUAGCUAUUGUAAGUUCAAUGUAGAUGCAUAGAUGGCACUUCAAUGUCAUUUUGUUCAAAAGUGGCAAUGACAAAAUGGAAAAUAUUUUAUUCCCCUGCCCCCCUCAAUAUCUAAGUUAGCUAGAGUAUUUUAGGUUAUGGCUGGUUUAUUAAUCUCCUUAUUGGUGGUUGUUGUCCAUUUCUAUUUUAUUUAGUAUUUUCUUUUCAUCUUAUAAUUUAUAGUUUUGUUUUCUCUUAACUUGUAGGCGAAAAAAUAUAAUUUGGCUAAAUAGUGUCUAUUAAAUUGUUUAAAACAAUUUUGGUUUUGUUGUCUCUCAAUUUCUAAGCAAACAAAAUUGACUGUGAGCAAUAGUGUCUAUUAUAUUGACCUUUUCAUUUUAUAAAAAAUACUGCCUCUUCUGUGUGAGAUCUCUUUCGUAACCUGUUAAUCAAUGUGUGCAUGGAGAGCUUAUAUUUUUAAUAAUAUUUCCUCCUGGAAAUCAUUUGUAUCUCUUAAGUCCAACAUCUUUUAACUUCUGAUUAUUUUGCCCCUUUUUUGCUUUAAACUAUUUUUGUAAAUUCGUGUCGUAUUCAUUUUGUCAGAAUCUUCCCCAUGAUGCGUACAAGCUUUUUGAGUGAAUUCUCUUCUAAAUAUUGUUCACUUUCAGCUCCACUGUGCUUGCUUUCUAUGAGCUAGCCUAUAGCUUUUAGUGCCUGAUUCAAUUUGUAGGGAGAAAUGUUGCAAGAUAUUAUGUCUUUAUAUGUAUAUAUUGGGUUAAAUAUGAUGUUUGUAUUCUGAGUGUCAUGUUUUACUUCCUAAUCCCAAAAAGAAAAAAUUAAUGCAUUGAAAAUUCUGCUGUUGAUGU